GGCUCGACGGACGAACGCUGGCGGCGCGCCUAACACAUGCAAGUCGAACGAGCGAGAGAGAGCUUGCUUCUCGAGCGAGUGGCGAACGGGUGAGUAACGCGUGAGGAACCUGCCUCAAGAGGGGGACAACAGUUGGAAACGACUGCUAAUACCGCAUAAGCCCACGGCUCGGCAUCGAGCAGAGGGAAAAGGAGUAAUCCGCUUUGAGAUGGCCUCGCGUCCGAUUAGCUAGUUGGUGAGGUAACGGCCCACCAAGGCGACGAUCAGUAGCCGGCCUGAGAGGGUGAACGGCCACAUUGGGACUGAGACACGGCCCAAACUCCUACGGGAGGCAGCAGUGGGGAAUAUUGCACAAUGGGGGAAACCCUGAUGCAGCGACGCCGCGUGAGUGAAGAAGUAUUUCGGUAUGUAAAGCUCUAUCAGCAGGGAAGAAAAUGACGGUACCUGACUAAGAAGCCCCGGCUAACUACGUG
rnacentral:rRNA from 1 species